GCACAUUGGUAUUCUAAAAAGACCUUUACUCCCUUGAUGAUUGCUACGUCUUGUGAAAAAAUAGCAGGGUGCCUGAUCAAGCCAAUUGAAGACAUAAAUUAUUGGCUUGUAAAGUUUUUGCUGUUGUUUCAUGGAGCAGACUUCCUUCCUGAAAUCAAUAUCAGUGUACAAAAGGCAUAAUCUUACUCCCAUUCUGGCAUCCAUACACUUAUCACUGUUACAGGCAAGAUACAGUACGCCACAUCCUGCUGCUAACGUGCGUAUCACCUCACUGACUUCAGAAUGUUUGUCACUCUGGCAUACUAUUCUGAAAGUAAAAUAGCUUUGGGCCACUCCUGUGCAGCUGCAUGGCUGCUGCUUGGGCCAGGAUAUGCAGCACUAUGAGCACUUCUGCCUCCUCAGCUGAAUUAUUUUGGUAUUUGCUGGUGAUUGCGUAGAUGCCAAUUUGCAUGCUGCUCCUUCUGGCAAGAAAUUAGCCCUGGUGUUGUGCCCCACUGUACAUCCAUAUGUGCAACAUUAGCCGCACCCAGAUCCAUCUGCUCAGACCCAUCUUCCUCCAUCUGCCACCAUGCUCCAUGUUAUCCAUAGGAUAUUGCAUCAGAAUUAUGAAUCAUCCUCUCUAGGCUCUUGAUAUCUUAUUGUAACAGAUGGGAAUAACGUAUAUUCCAUAAUAAUGAUCCUGGAUAUAUUUGUCCUUUGUUAUAUUAAUGAUUCAAUAAGAAAAGAGCCAACUAGAUGACAUUACUAAAUUACUGACCUUUCAGGCAAAAAAGUCUAAGUCUGUGUUAGUAACACAAGAGAAGGCAUACCUCUGAAAUAAUGCAUUUGCUCCUGGUUUGACUGGAAAUCAAUACGUGAGGUACAAUCCAAAUUCUUGUUAGUAUUACUAGCAGAGUAAUUCCUAGAAUGCAAAUCUGAAGAGCAACACUAAGGACAAAGAAAUGGGAUGUUCAACAGCUAUGACAUUUUGGCAAUUCACCAGCGAGCAGAGAGAUUUUAAUUUAUUAGUAGCAAAGAACAGAUGAUCCCAUAAUAGCAAAGAAGCAUCUCUCUGCUGCUUAUUUGAUAUGAUGAAAUCUUCACUCCAUGUCAAUUUUUAAAAGAAGUGAAUUGCUUUCUGCUGCACUGUCUGAAUACUGCAGAGUACAGAGCUCCACAAAAAUUAUCCAGGUGCUAGAAAAUUGUGCUGCACGUAACAAGGAUUCUGGAACUCAGUACAUUUAGUUACCCUAAAAGAAAGUUGAGAAGUAAGUUGGUCAUUCUCUUGGGCAUUAAGUGCAAGACAGCAAGCAGCAAAGAGGCAUUGAAGGACCAGGUGACUAGAAGGUGCAGUUUGACGGUCACAUCUGAAAGAGGCCGUGUUUGCUUUUGACAAAGGUGUUUAAAUACUGGUGAGUUCCCUACACAGCAGCACCACCACAUGGAGUCUCUAAAGGGAUGAAACACAGCUUCAGAAAUAUACAAUCCUUUUUUUUCCCAAAGAAUAUUGUGUUCAAGUCUGCUAAGUAGAUGACCAGGGUAGUCUGUACUGGCCCUUGAGUCCAUGAAGCCUUGCUGCUUUUCCUGAAUGCAAGGAGAGAUUUUACAGAGUAGCUGUGGGGCCUAGGGCUAUGCCUCUGCAACAGAGCUAGCACAGGAGCCUGCUAUCUGCUCUGUGCCAUGUGAAGGGAAGAACAGUUUGUGACUUGGAGAAUUUUCAUUCCUGCUGCUCCUUCAACAUUGCUACUACUGCCACUACUACAGAAAUUCAGUAACCCAACAGCAAGACCAGAAACAAAACCAAAAAGAACAUGAGGCUGGGUACACGCGGUGAGUGAUCUGUAACUAUGACUAUUCAAAAUAGGAGAUAAAAGGAGAAACAGACUAUUUUAAAGAUACAUGGUGUUUUUUUUCAUACAUUAUAGGCUAAUGUCCAAGGACUAAGGCAUCAAUGCACAGGGGUCUCCAGGCCUCUCACUUCUCUGAGCUUCCAUUUGUCUGGCAGCGCUGGCAGCUGCUGCUUGCCCUUGAGCUAUCAAGGUUUGGCUUAGACUGUUUCCACUGGAUGAGUAGUAGUGUUUUCUGGUAUCCAGAUACACACACUGAACAUAGCUAAUGCUUUUUGGUUCUGUUGAGGAGGAACAUUUCUUCAGUCACUUUGCUGAUGUCUUCGUUAUUGAUGGGAUUUUCCCAUUAACACCCCAAAACUUUCAAAGCAACCACUUACUGUAUGUUUAGUUGGUUUAUAUAAUGUUUCAGUGCUGAAAGUGGCAAAGCCAGGCUGCAUUUCUCAUAAGCAAAUGAUUUUUGCAAAUGCUUGCCUAUCUACCUUUAGAAGAGGUAGGACAUUGGCAGACCCACAGCACUGAUGCCAUGUAUCUAUUGAUGGCAUCUCUGUAAGAAUCUACAUUCUUAGGUCAUUGCUUCCACGCAAAUAAAAAGCAGCUUGGGUUGAAGUUGUUUUUGAAAACAAGUGCUAAAAUAUGUUUUUGCACUAAGGCUAUGGUUAAAGAUCAGUUAAUUUAUUAGUCUUCGUAAGUAACCAAAGUCAUUCUAACAAUUUAACUGUUUUUCUUCAAAACCUUAUAUUUCAUUUCCUGUAACCUCUUAUUUGCACAAUUCCACAGUGGCUAAUUAAGAUUUACAAGGAAAUCCAGAAAUGAGACAAAUUCUGCAGAAUUAACUGAUAUAACAACCAUAAUCCAUAU